rnacentral:rRNA from 1 species
UACGUAGGGGGCUAGCGUUGUCCGGAUUUAUUGGGCGUAAAGAGCGUGUAGGCGGCCAGGUAGGUCCGGUGUGAAAACUCGAGGCUUAACCUCGAGAUGUCAUCGGAAACCAUCUGGCUAGAGUCCGGAAGAGGGAAGUGGAAUUCCCGGUGUAGUGGUGAAAUGCGUAGAUAUCGGGAGGAACACCAGUGGCGAAGGCGACUACCUGGCCUGUUCUUGACGCUGAGGCGCGAAAGCUAGGGGAGCAAACGGG